AUUUAAGUAUCUUAUGUUUAGAGUAUAACAUUGAAGCUGUUAUUGAGGUUGAUUAACCCUUAAAUA